UGGCGAACGGGUGAGUAACGCGUGAGGAACCUGCCUCAAAGAGGGGGACAACAGUUGGAAACGACUGCUAAUACCGCAUAAGCCCACGGCUCGGCAUCGAGCAGAGGGAAAAGGAGUGAUCCGCUUUGAGAUGGCCUCGCGUCCGAUUAGCUAGUUGGUGAGGUAACGGCCCACCAAGGCGACGAUCGGUAGCCGGACUGAGAGGUUGAACGGCCACAUUGGGACUGGGACACGGCCCAG
rnacentral:rRNA from 1 species